GAACCAGUCCCCUGAGCAUUCUGACCCACAUCUUCCUGCAUCCUUGUCAGAGGCUUCUACUUUUUUGAUCCCCCAACGACACGUCCAUUUGCCUUCAACGACUCCUCUGAGCAGUGUCCUUUAAAAGCAAAAUGGUGUCAACGAGUGCAGUCUGAGACAUGAGAUACAAAAGAAACCCCUUUGAACAACUUCUGAAGAAACCCAAAAAUCAUCAUAUCCUCCUAUUGCCAAGAGGUGGAAAGUUUAUUGUAUAUUUCAGUUUCCAAUUGCACAAAUAUUUUAAGGAGCCAUGAUGAACAAUUGAUAGUGAAUUAUAACGACUACAGAGAAAGAUUACGGAAAACAUGCGUGAAACACAAUUGGCUCCCAGAUGCCAUGAACUGGGAACGAAUACAUGAAGAGCAAACCAGGAGCAGGAAGUCCAUUUGAAAUGCUGACUGAUGCAGCUCCCUCUCCCUACCAAACCCAAAUGUCCCAGAGGACCCUGGAUGUGUGUGUUGUGUACGCUGCACACCUGUUGUAUUUCUUCUAUUAUCUUUCAUGGUCUCUCUCCUUGAAGCAUGCCAGGAAAGUUUUUUCCAAGAAUAAACAGCACAUGGCUUAAAAAAAAAAAACCUCUAGUAUCAACACAGGUGUGUAUGUGUGUUUUGCCCAGCCAUCUCUUUCAGCUUUCAUACAUUCCUCUUUGUUCAGAAGUUCAUUUGCACAACUACUAGCUAUCUGCCACAUUUAGUUACUAUAUACAGUACUUCGUUUUUGAAAACAGAUCUUAUUAUAAUUUGAUUAGAGACAUCCAGGGAGGACAGGGCAUCAGUGGCUACUAAGUACGCUGGCUACAGGGCCCUAACAGACAAGAGGCAGCAUGUUCUACACACCAGGGGCUGGACUGUGCAACCAAGGCAGAAGGCUCUGGUCUUCAAGCUUUGCCUACCUUCUGUAGGAUGUCAGGAAGCACAUGCUCUAAGAAACAGGAUGAUAGACGUUUGGGGUGGUCUUGACAGACAUUCCUUAGAAAAUUACGUAGAUCUCCAAAAUUGGAUAAAAAUCACAGCACCAAUAAAUUUUUGUUACCUGCCAUCAAUGGAGAACUUUCAAGGUACAGUACGUGAGAGAUUUAAGGAGU